UACGGAGGAGGCAAGCGUUAUCCGGAAUUAUUGGGCGUAAAGCGUCCGCAGGUGGCACCUCAAGUCUGCUGUCAAAGACCGGGGCUUAACCCCAGAAAGGCAGUGGAAACUGAAGUGCUAGAGUGCAGUAGGGGUAGAGGGAAUUCCCGGUGUAGCGGUGAAAUGCGUAGAGAUCGGGAGGAACACCAAUGGCGAAGGCAGCUCGCUGGGACGUUACUGACGCUGAGACGCGAAAGCGUGGGGAGCAA
rnacentral:rRNA from 1 species